AUUGAACGCUGGCGGCAGGCCUAACACAUGCAAGUCGAACGAGUCGCGGACGGGUGAGCUAUGUCUGGGAAACUGCCUGAUGGAGGGGGAUCACUACUGGAAACUGUAGCUAACUCCGCACACCCUCAGAUGUGCCCAGUUGGGAGUAGCUUGUUGGUGGGGUAACGGCUCACCAAGGCGACGAACCGUAGCUGGUCUGAGAGGAUGAACAGUCACACGGGAACUGAGACACGGUCCAGACUCCUACGGGAGGCAGCAGUGGGGAAUAUUGGACAAUGGGCGAAAGCCUGAUGCAGCCAUGCCGCGUGUAUGAAGAAGGCCUUCGGAUUGUAAAGUACUUUCAGCGGGGAGGCGUUACCCGCAGAAGAAGCACCGGCUAACUCCGUGCCAGCAGCCGCGGUAAUUC
rnacentral:rRNA from 1 species